rnacentral:rRNA from 1 species
CCUACGGGAGGCAGCAGUGGGGAAUAUUGCACAAUGGGGGAAACCCUGAUGCAGCAACGCCGCGUGAAGGAAGACGGUUUUCGGAUUGUAAACUUCUGUUCUUAGUGAAGAAUAAUGAAGGUAGCGAAGGAGCAAGCCACGGCUAACUAAGUGCCAGCAGCCGCGGUAAUACGUAGGUGGCAAGCGUUGUCCGGAAUUACUGGGGGUAGAGGGAGCGCAGGCGGGAAGCCAAGUCAGCUGUGAAAACGACGGGCUUAACUUGUAGACUGCAGUUGAAACUGGUUUUCUGGAGUGAAGUAGAGGUUGGCGGAAUUCCGGGUGUAGCGGUGAAAUGCGUAGAUAUUCGGAGGAACACCGGUGGCGAAGGCGGCCAACUGGGCUUUAACUGACGCUGAGGCUCGAAAGUGUGGGGAGCAAACAGGAUUAGAUACCCCAGUAGUC